rnacentral:rRNA from 1 species
AGAACGGUCCGGCGAGUUGCCGGUACUGGCAAGGUUAAGCACUUAAGGUGCGGAGCCGAAGGGAAACCGAGUCUUAACUGGGCGUCUAGUUGCAAGGUAUAGACCCGAAACCCGGUGAUCUAGCCAUGGGCAGGUUGAAGGUUGGGUAACACUAACUGGAGGACCGAACCGACUAAUGUUGAAAAAUUAGCGGAUGACUUGUGGCUGGGGGUGAAAGGCCAAUCAAACCGGGAGAUAGCUGGUUCUCCCCGAAAUCUAUUUAGGUAGAGCCUUGAGCGGACACCUUCGGGGGUAGAGCACUGUUUCGGCUAGGGGUCCAUCCCGGAUUACCAACCCGAUGCAAACUACGAAUACCGAAGAGUGAUACUCAGGAGACACACGGCGGGUGCUAACGUCCGUCGUGGAGAGGGAAACAACCCAGACCGCCAGCUAAGGUCCCAAAGUCUAUAUUAAGUGGGAAACGAAGUGGGAAGGCUUAGACAGCUAGGAUGUUGGCUUAGAAGCAGCCAUCAUUUAAAGAAAGCGUAAUAGCUCACUAGUCGAGUCGGCCUGCGCGGAAGAUGUAACGGGGCUCAAAUAUAGCACCGAAGCUGCGGCAUCAGUAGCAAUACUGUUGGGUAGGGGAGCGUUCUGUAAGCCUGCGAAGGUGACUCGUAAGGGUUGCUGGAGGUAUCAGAAGUGCGAAUGCUGACAUGAGUAACGUUAAAGCGGGUGAAAAGCCCGCUCGCCGUAAGCCCAAGGUUUCCUGCUCUACGUUCAUCGGAGCAGGGUGAGUCGGCCCCUAAGGUGAGGCUGAGAAGCGUAACUGAUGGGAACAAGGUUAAUAUUCCUUGACCACCGCUGAAUGCGAAGGGGGGACGGAGUAUUGAAGAUCAUCCGGGUGUUGGAUAUCCCGGUUUGCGAGCGUAGGAGGCUGACAGGCAAAUCCGUCAGCGAAUCUCCGAGGCAAAGCAUCGAGCUCUCUUUUGAGCGAAGUGAUUGGAUGUGCUUCCAGGAAAAGCCUCUAAGCUCCAGUUCAGCGGGACCGUACCGCAAACCGACACUGGUGGGCGAGCUGAAUAUGCUCAGGCGCUUGAGAGAACUCAGGAGAAGGAACUCGGCAAAUUGACACCGUAACUUCGGGAUAAGGUGUGCCUUUGUAGCGUGGAGGGAGAAACACCCCGAGCGCGAAGAGGUCUCAGAUAAUCGGUGGCUGCGACUGUUUAUUAAAAACACAGCACUCUGCAAAGACGAAAGUCGACGUAUAGGGUGUGAUGCCUGCCCGGUGCUGGAAGAUUAAUUGAUGGGGUGCAAGCUCCUGAUCGAAGUCCCAGUAAACGGCGGCCGUAACUAUAACGGUCCUAAGGUAGCGAAAUUCCUUGUC